CCCGGGGAUAAUGACGGUACCGGAGAAAAAGCCCCGGCUAACUACGUGCCAGCAGCCGCGGUAAUACGGAGGGGGCGAGCGUUUUUCGGAAUUACUGGGCGUAAAGCGCGCGCAGGCGGUGUUGUAAGUCAGGGGUGAAAUCCCGGGGCUUAACCUGGGAACUGCGUUUGAGACUGCAGGUCUGGAGUGCGGCAGAGGGGGGUGGAAUUCCGAGUGUAGCAGUGAAAUUCGUAGAUAUGCGGAGGAACACCGGUGGCGAAGGCGAUUCCCUGGCCCUGCACUGACGCUGAGGCGCGAAAGCGUGGGGAGCAAACAGGAUUAGAUACCCUGGUAGUCCACGCCGUAAACGAUGUCA
rnacentral:rRNA from 1 species